UAAAAUUCCUGCUUUCUUCCACCACACCCGCUGUCAGAGAUUGGCUUGCUACACAACAGCCUAUUGUGCAUCAUAUACACUCAAAAAGAAUGUGUUUUCUGCAGUUGUUGGAUGGAGUAAUUUUUAAAUAUCUGCUAAGUCUAGUUGUUUUACCGAGUACUGAGAGGAUGUUAAAACCUUCAAUUCAAUCGCUGUAAAAUCAGCAGUGAUGUCUCCUCUUUCACUCCCGAUACUGCAUCUGGAAAAAAAGAUACAAUGAAAUUGCCAAUUCAUGUCCUUCCCUGCCGUUGAGAACUGCUGGGCUCCGAAAGACGACUAGCACCUCCAGCCGGCUCACUCCACAGUUCAGAGACUCCUUUGAAGCUGAGCUGAGAACUGAGAAUGCUAUUGAUUCCACAUCCGAGAUGACAAUUGAUGGCUAAUAUUUUCUCUGUGGAAAAACACAUCCUUAAGGAAACACACUUUGCACACCUAACAGUGAAUUGUGGUAUAGCAACAAUAAAGCCCCAUCUUAUUCUCAAAAUUUCAGCAACAAAAGUAGAUGAAAGAUGUGAUGUCAUAAAGUAUAUUUUAUAAUAUUUGUUACAGUGAUAGAAGGUGAACUACAUGUUAUUGUAAAAGAAAAUCCAAUUUACUGCCUGCUGCCUUCAAUUUUGAUUUGACAAAUGCUCACUCUUGGGCUGGAUUUCAACUCUCUUCAUUUAUCUUCUGGAGCAUGUACUGUAAUGUCUCCUCAAGACAAAUAAAACAAUCCAUUUAAUUUACUAAGGAUGCUCAUGUAUAUUUGAGUUUGCUACGUGCAAAUAUAUGAAAAUCUAUUUCUGUUAAAGAUUCCUUUGACAGUGUAAAAUCAAUCCUGACUUUAUUGUUUAGGUUUGAAACUACUGAUUGCAUCCUUAUUUGUGUGACAAGAAGCGUGCGUAUCAAAACUAUUUCUAUUUUCCACACACGUGCAUCAUAUAAUUUAGUGAUCCAUAUCAAAUCUGUUUAAACAACUUUGUCAAGUCAAAAUAUUUAAUUGUUCACCUUAAGUAGUUUAAUUGGAUAUGAAAACAAAAGUUUUCUAUAGGUUUUAGUUAUUUUACAAUUUGCAUUUAAAGCUAAAAGAAAUAUCAUGGAGUAAUA